rnacentral:rRNA from 1 species
CCCUUAGAUGUUCUGGGCCGCACGCGCGCUACACUGACGAAGUCAGCGAGCAUGUCCUACGCCGACAGGUGCGGGGAAUCUUGUCAAACUUCGUCGUGAUGGGGAUUGAUUAUUGAAAUUCUUGAUCAUCAACGAGGAAUUCCUAGUAAGCGCAAGUCAGCAGCUUGCGUUGAUUACGUCCCUGCCCUUUGUACACACCGCCCGUCGCUACUACCGAUUGAAUGGUUUAGUGAGAUCCUCGGAUUGGCGCCACUGCGGCUCAGCAAUGGGCUCGGUGGAUGCCGAAAAGUUGAUCAAACUUGAUCAUUUAGAGGAAGUAAAAGUCGUAACA